rnacentral:rRNA from 1 species
UAAGGAAUAUUGGGCAAUGGACGCAAGUCUGACCCAGCCAUGCCGCGUGAAGGAAGACGGCCCUAUGGGUUGUAAACUUCUUUUCUCAGGGGGUAAACUCUGGAACGUGUUCCGGACUGAAAGUACCUGAGGAAUAAGCAUCGGCUAACUCCGUGCCAGCAGCCGCGGUAAUACGGAGGAUGCGAGCGUUAUCCGGAUUCAUUGGGUUUAAAGGGUGCGCAGGCGGAUAUAUAAGUCGGAGGUGAAAUUCUGAUGCUCAACAUCAGCCGUGCCUUCGAUACUGUAUAUCUAGAGUCAAGUUGGAGUAGGCGGAAUGUGUUGUGUAGCGGUGAAAUGCUUAGAUAUAACACAGAACACCGAUCGCGAAGGCAGCUUACUAAACUUUGACUGACGCUCAUGCACGAAAGCGUGGGGAUCAAACA